AUGGUUAAGUUAGAAAGGGCGCACGGUGAAUGCCUUGGCACUAGGAGCCGAUGAAGGACGGGACUAACACCGAUAUGCUUCGGGGAGCUGUAAGUGAGCUUUGAUCCGGAGAUUUCCGAAUGGGGAAACCCACUGUUCGUAAUAGAACAGUAUCUUUAUCUGAAUACAUAGGAUAUUGAAGGCAGACCCGGGGAACUGAAACAUCUAAGUACCCGGAGGAAGAGAAAGCAAAUGCGAUUUCCUGAGUAGCGGCGAGCGAAACGGAAUUAGCCCAAACCAAGAGGCUUGCCUCUUGGGGUUGUAGGACACUCUAUACGGAGUUACAAAGGAACGAAGUAAAUGAAGCGACCUGGAAAGGUCCGUCGAAGAAGGUAACAACCCUGUAGUUGAAACUUCGUUCCCUCUUGAGUGGAUCCUGAGUACGGCGGAACACGUGAAAUUCCGUCGGAAGCUGGGAGGACCAUCUCCCAAGGCUAAAUACUACCUAGUGACCGAUAGUGAACCAGUACCGUGAGGGAAAGGUGAAAAGCACCCCGGAAGGGGAGUGAAAGAGAUCCUGAAACCGUGUGCCUACAAGUAGUCAGAGCCCGUUAACGGGUGAUGGCGUGCCUUUUGUAGAAUGAACCGGCGAGUUACGAUCCCAUGCAAGGUUAAGCUGAUAAGGCGGAGCCGUAGCGAAAGCGAGUCUGAAUAGGGCGUUUAGUAUGUGGUUGUAGACCCGAAACCAGGUGAUCUACCCAUGUCCAGGGUGAAGUUCAGGUAACACUGAAUGGAGGCCCGAACCCACGCACGUUGAAAAGUGCGGGGAUGAGGUGUGGGUAGCGGAGAAAUUCCAAUCGAACCUGGAGAUAGCUGGUUCUCUCCGAAAUAGCUUUAGGGCUAGCCUCAUGUUGUGAGAGUCUUGGAGGUAGAGCACUGAUUGGACUAGGGGCCCCCAACGGGUUACCGAAUUCAGUCAAACUCCGAAUGCCAAAGACUUAUCCAUGGGAGUCAGACUGCGAGUGAUAAGAUCCGUAGUCAAAAGGGAAACAGCCCAGACCACCAGCUAAGGUCCCCAAGUAUACGUUAAGUGGAAAAGGAUGUGGAGUUGCUUAGACAACCAGGAUGUUGGCUUAGAAGCAGCCACCAUUUAAAGAGUGCGUAAUAGCUCACUGGUCGAGUGAAUCUGCGCCGAAAAUGUACCGGGGCUAAACGUAUCACCGAAGCUGUGGAUUGACAUCUUUGAUGUCAGUGGUAGGAGAGCGUUCUAAGUGCUGUGAAGUCAGACCGUAAGGACUGGUGGAGCGCUUAGAAGUGAGAAUGCCGGUAUGAGUAGCGAAAGACAAGUGAGAAUCUUGUCCACCGAAUGCCUAAGGUUUCCUGAGGAAGGCUCGUCCGCUCAGGGUUAGUCGGGACCUAAGCCGAGGCUGAAAAGCGUAGGCGAUGGCCAACAGGUUGAUAUUCCUGUACCACCUCCCCGCCGUUUGAGUAAUGGGGGACGCAGUAGGAUAGGGUAAGCGCGCUGCUGGAUAUGCGCGUUCAAGCAGUUAGGCUGAUGAGUAGGCAAAUCCGCUCAUCAUAAAGGCUGAGCUGUGAUGACGAGGGAAUUAUAGUACCGAAGUUCCUGAUUCCACACUGCCAAGAAAAGCCUCUAGCGAGGCGGGAGGUGCCCGUACCGCAAACCGACACAGGUAGGCGAGGAGAGAAUCCUAAGGUGAUCGAGAGAACUCUCGUUAAGGAACUCGGCAAAAUGACCCCGUAACUUCGGGAGAAGGGGUGCUCUGGUAGGGUGUAUAGCCCGAGAGAGCCGCAGUGAAUAGGCCCAGGCGACUGUUUAGCAAAAACACAGGUCUCUGCGAAGCCGCAAGGCGAAGUAUAGGGGCUGACGCCUGCCCGGUGCUGGAAGGUUAAGAGGAGGGGUUAUCCUUUGGGAGAAGCUCUGAAUCGAAGCCCCAGUAAACGGCGGCCGUAACUAUAACGGUCCUAAGGUAGCGAAAUUCCUUGUCGGGUAAGUUCCGACCCGCACGAAAGGCGUAACGAUCUGGGCACUGUCUCAACGAGAGACUCGGUGAAAUUAUAGUACCUGUGAAGAUGCAGGUUACCCGCGACAGGACGGAAAGACCCCGUGGAGCUUUACUGUAGCCUGAUAUUGAAUUUUGGUACAGCUUGUACAGGAUAGGUAGGAGCCUGAGAAGCCGGAGCGCUAGCUUCGGUGGAGGCGUCGGUGGGAUACUACCCUGGCUGUAUUGAAAUUCUAACCCGCGGCCCUGAUCGGGCCGGGAGACAGUGUCAGGUGGGCAGUUUGACUGGGGCGGUCGCCUCCUAAAAUGUAACGGAGGCGCCCAAAGGUUCCCUCAGAAUGGUUGGAAAUCAUUCGUAGAGUGUAAAGGCACAAGGGAGCUUGACUGCGAGACCUACAAGUCGAGCAGGGACGAAAGUCGGGCUUAGUGAUCCGGUGGUUCCGCAUGGAAGGGCCAUCGCUCAACGGAUAAAAGCUACCCCGGGGAUAACAGGCUUAUCUCCCCCAAGAGUCCACAUCGACGGGGAGGUUUGGCACCUCGAUGUCGGCUCAUCGCAUCCUGGGGCUGUAGUCGGUCCCAAGGGUUGGGCUGUUCGCCCAUUAAAGCGGUACGCGAGCUGGGUUCAGAACGUCGUGAGACAGUUCGGUCCCUAUCCGUCGUGGGCGUAGGAAAUUUGAGAGGAGCUGUCCUUAGUACGAGAGGACCGGGAUGGACACACCGCUGGUGUACCAGUUGUCUUGCCAAAGGCAUCGCUGGUAGCUAUGUGUGGACGGGAUAAGUGCUGAAAGCAUCUAAGCAUGAAGCCCCCCUCAAGAUGAGAUUUCCCAUAGCGCAAGCUAGUAAGAUCCCUGAAAGAUGAUCAGGUUGAUAGGUCAGAGGUGGAAGCGUGGCGACAUGUGUAGCUGACUGAUACUAAUCGAUCGAGGACUUAACCAAAA
rnacentral:rRNA from 1 species